GAUGAACGCUGGCGGCGUGCCUAAUACAUGCAAGUCGAGCGAACAGACGAGGAGCUUGCUCCUCUGACGUUAGUGGCGGACGGGUGAGUAACACGUGGAUAACCUACCUAUAAGACUGGGAUAACUUCGGGAAACCGGAGCUAAUACCGGAUAAUAUAUUGAACCGCAUGGUUCAAUAGUGAAAGACGGUUUUGCUGUCACUUAUAGAUGGAUCCGCGCCGCAUUAGCUAGUUGGUAAGGUAACGGCUUACCAAGGCAACGAUGCGUAGCCGACCUGAGAGGGUGAUCGGCCACACUGGAACUGAGACACGGUCCAGACUCCUACGGGAGGCAGCAGUAGGGAAUCUUCCGCAAUGGGCGAAAGCCUGACAGAGCAACGCCGCGUGAGUGAUGAAGGUCUUCGGAUCGUAAAACUCUGUUAUUAGGGAAGAACAAAUGUGUAAGUAACUAUGCACGUCUUGACGGUACCUAAUCAGAAAGCCACGGCUAACUACGUG
rnacentral:rRNA from 1 species